rnacentral:rRNA from 1 species
AGAUUAAGUUAUUAAGGGCGCACGGUGGAUGCCUUGGCACUAGAAGCCGAAGAAGGACGUUACUAACGACGAUAUGCUUUGGGUAGCUGUAAGUAAGCGUUGAUCCAGAGAUUUCCGAAUGGGGGAACCCAACAUGAGUUAUGUCAUGUUAUCGACAUGUGAAUUCAUAGCAUGUCAGAAGGCAGACCCGGAGAACUGAAACAUCUUAGUACCCGGAGGAAGAGAAAGAAAAAUCGAUUCCCUGAGUAGCGGCGAGCGAAACGGGAAGAGCCCAAACCAACAAGCUUGCUUGUUGGGGUUGUAGGACACUCUAUACGGAGUUACAAAAGAACAUGUUAGACGAAUCAUCUGGAAAGAUGAAUCAAAGAAGGUAAUAAUCCUGUAGUCGAAAACAUAUUCUCUCUUGAGUGGAUCCUGAGUACGACGGAGCACGUGAAAUUCCGUCGGAAUCUAGGAGGACCAUCUCCUAAGGCUAAAUACUCUCUAGUGACCGAUAGUGAACCAGUACCGUGAGGGAAAGGUGAAAAGUACCCCGGAAGGGGAGUGAAAGAGAACUUGAAACCGUGUGCUUACAAGUAGUCAGAGCCCGUUUAUGGGUGAUGGCGUGCCUUUUGUAGAAUGAACCGGCGAGUUACGAUCUGAUGCAAGGUUAAGCAGCGAAUGUGGAGCCGUAGCGAAAGCGAGUCUGAAUAGGGCGUUGAGUAUUUGGUCGUAGACCCGAAACCAGGUGAUCUACCCUUGGUCAGGUUGAAGUUCAGGUAACACUGAAUGGAGGACCGAACCGACUUACGUUGAAAAGUGAGCGGAUGAACUGAGGGUAGCGGAGAAAUUCCAAUCGAACUUGGAGAUAGCUGGUUCUCUCCGAAAUAGCUUUAGGGCUAGCCUCAAGUGAUGAUUAUUGGAGGUAGAGCACUGUUUGGACGAGGGCCCCUCUCGGGUUACCGAAUUCAGACAAACUCCGAAUGCCAAUCAAUUUAACUUGGGAGUCAGAACAUGGGUGAUAAGGUCCGUGUUCGAAAGGGAAACAGCCCAGACCACCAGCUAAGGUCCCAAAAUAUAUGUUAAGUGGAAAAGGAUGUGGCGUUGCCCAGACAACUAGGAUGUUGGCUUAGAAGCAGCCAUCAUUUAAAGAGUGCGUAAUAGCUCACUAGUCGAGUGACACUGCGCCGAAAAUGUACCGGGGCUAAACAUAUUACCGAAGCUGUGGAUUGUCCUUCGGACAAUGGUAGGAGAGCGUUCUAAGGGCGUUGAAGCAUGAUCGCAAGGACAUGUGGAGCGCUUAGAAGUGAGAAUGCCGGUGUGAGUAGCGAAAGACGGGUGAGAAUCCCGUCCACCGAUUGACUAAGGUUUCCAGAGGAAGGCUCGUCCGCUCUGGGUUAGUCGGGUCCUAAGCUGAGGCCGACAGGCGUAGGCGAUGGAUAACAGGUUGAUAUUCCUGUACCACCUAGUAUCGUUUUAAUCGAUGGGGGGACGCAGUAGGAUAGGCGAAGCGUGCUGUUGGAGUGCACGUCCAAGUAGUAAGGCUGAGUGUUAGGCAAAUCCGGCACUCGUUAGGCUGAGCUGUGAUGGGGAGAGGAAAUUGUUUCCUCGAGUCGUUGAUUUCACACUGCCGAGAAAAGCCUCUAGAUAGAUAACAGGUGCCCGUACCGCAAACCGACACAGGUAGUCAAGAUGAGAAUUCUAAGGUGAGCGAGCGAACUCUCGUUAAGGAACUCGGCAAAAUGACCCCGUAACUUCGGGAGAAGGGGUGCUCUUUAGGGUUCACGCCCAGAAGAGCCGCAGUGAAUAGGCCCAAGCGACUGUUUAUCAAAAACACAGGUCUCUGCUAAACCGUAAGGUGAUGUAUAGGGGCUGACGCCUGCCCGGUGCUGGAAGGUUAAGAGGAGUGGUUAGCUUCUGCGAAGCCACGAAUCGAAGCCCCAGUAAACGGCGGCCGUAACUAUAACGGUCCUAAGGUAGCGAAAUUCCUUGUCGGGUAAGUUCCGACCCGCACGAAAGGCGUAACGAUUUGGGCACUGUCUCAACGAGAGACUCGGUGAAAUCAUAGUACCUGUGAAGAUGCAGGUUACCCGCGACAGGACGGAAAGACCCCGUGGAGCUUUACUGUAGCCUGAUAUUGAAAUUCGGCACAGCUUGUACAGGAUAGGUAGGAGCCAUUGAAACGUGAGCGCUAGCUUACGUGGAGGCGUUGGUGGGAUACUACCCUAGCUGUGUUGGCUUUCUAACCCGCACCACUUAUCGUGGUGGGAGACAGUGUCAGGCGGGCAGUUUGACUGGGGCGGUCGCCUCCUAAAAGGUAACGGAGGCGCUCAAAGGUUCCCUCAGAAUGGUUGGAAAUCAUUCACAGAGUGUAAAGGCAUAAGGGAGCUUGACUGCGAGACCUACAAGUCGAGCAGGGUCGAAAGACGGACUUAGUGAUCCGGUGGUUCCGCAUGGAAGGGCCAUCGCUCAACGGAUAAAAGCUACCCCGGGGAUAACAGGCUUAUCUCCCCCAAGAGUUCACAUCGACGGGGAGGUUUGGCACCUCGAUGUCGGCUCAUCGCAUCCUGGGGCUGUAGUCGGUCCCAAGGGUUGGGCUGUUCGCCCAUUAAAGCGGUACGCGAGCUGGGUUCAGAACGUCGUGAGACAGUUCGGUCCCUAUCCGUCGUGGGCGUAGGAAAUUUGAGAGGAGCUGUCCUUAGUACGAGAGGACCGGGAUGGACAUACCUCUGGUGUACCAGUUGUCGUGCCAACGGCAUAGCUGGGUAGCUAUGUAUGGACGGGAUAAGUGCUGAAAGCAUCUAAGCAUGAAGCCCCCCUCAAGAUGAGAUUUCCCAACUUCGGUUAUAAGAUCCCUCGAAGAUGACGAGGUUAAUAGGUUCGAGGUGGAAGCGUGGUGACACGUGGAGCUGACGAAUACUAAUCGAUCGAAGACUUAAUCAAU